GGAGCCCUACGGGACGCAGCAGUGAGGAAUAUUGGUUAAUGGGCGGGAGCCUGAACCGGCCAAGUCGCGUGAGGGAAGAAGGUACUGAGUAUUGUAAGCCUCUUUUGCCAGGGGACAAAGGCGGCCACGGGUGGCCGUAAGAGGGUACCUGGAGAAAAAGCAUCGGCUAACUCCGUGCCAGCAGCCGCGGUAAUACGGAGGAUGCGAGCGUUAUCCGGAUUUAUUGGGUUUAAAGGGUGCGCAGGCGGCGUGUCAAGUCAGCGGUAAAAUGUCGGGGCUCAACCCCGGCCGGCCGUUGAAACUGG
rnacentral:rRNA from 1 species